ACCCCAUUAGUUUUACAGCUAAUCUUGAUGCUUUCAUCUGCUAAAGAGGAAUGAUCCUAGGCAGUUUUCAUUUGUUUGGUAAAGACACAAGGUUAUUGUUUGUGCCCCAUGGCUGGCCUCUAUGGCAGCUAAUGCCUCAAUUUCUCUUUUCCUUUGGCUAAUUUGCCCACUGAGUUGGAUUGUUUGAUCACUACGGCUUGCGUGGAUUUGUGGCCAUGGAGGAUCUAUUAAAGAUAUAUGAGAAGUGAGAAUGCUACAUGAAUUAGCCACUAAGGUAUGUGUUCGCCGUUGGGAGCAAAAGGGUAUAAACUCAGCAAAAAAGUAAGCUUCAAAUAAAGAACAUCUAUGUGGGUGAAGAAUUGGGGUACUUGAAUGAGAUGGCUACCUAGUUUAGGAUUACAUUUUCUGGAAAGAGAGAUUACAUUAGUGUUUUUUUAUGAGUGUAAUUAGUCUGACUCUUAAAUGUAGUUUGUGCUGGAAAAUUAUUCUUCAAGCUAUUGUAAUGAAUCUUUGGUUGAAUUAUUUAUCUUACAUUAAAAUUGUAUC